GGCGCGAGCGCGGCGUCGCCGCCCGCAGCCCCGCCCAUUCCAGACCGCAGAAUUCCGGGGAAUGAGGCAUAUAUACUUCGUUGACUAAGAAUAUGGAAACAGCAGAAAAUUAAGUGUGUGCCUAAACCAGCACAAAUGGAUCAGAGAAGAGGAAGAAGUGAGGACAUGUGAAGGAAAACAACAUGGCAAUACCAAGGUCACUGGAAAAAAUGGAAGGGGAGGAGGUGAAUCAAGCAUUGGAGCCAAGAUUCUUCUUCAGGCUGUGGAGAGGACUAUGGUAAAACAAACUGGCCUCCUGUGAUGCCUGAAGUCCAUACGGGAUGCAGAGAUCCAUUUGCAGCCCGUGGGAAAAGUCGAUCAAGUCCGGAGCAGGUAGAUGCCAGAGAAAGUUCUAAUCCAGUGGAAGACCAAAACAGGGAGAGAGGGCCCUUGCUUCCAAACUAGAGUAGCCUUUACUUAGAGGACUACAUCCUAUGAACCACACCACAACAAUUUCAGUGAGGGCCCCCAUGGCAUAACAGAAAAAACAUAAUGUAACAGAAAAAAAGAUUCCUCUCCCUGAAUGAACAGAAGAAGGUCUUGAGUGAUGAACUGAUCAAACCCCCAUGCUCUGUCUCCCUGUGCUGUUGAUAAGAAAGAGGAAGGGACUGAGGGGGGAAAAAGGGUGUUUUAAAGGCUUCUUUUAUUUCUCAUUGUCCUCCUCUGUCUCUGUUAAUAGUAAAUUUACCUUAUACCUUUAAAUUUGAACCUGUUUUGCCCUUAGGGUGUUUUUCUCCUAGUCCUUAUCUCAACUCAUGAACCCUUCAUUAAUUUUUUUUCCCCCUCCUCUGCUCAACUAUAGCAGAAGAGGGUGAAUGAACAACUUUCGUAAGUGCCCGAUGUUUGGCCAAUAUUAAACCAUGACAGGUAGCCAUGGUGGGGGACUACAGGGCUGUGAGAAGCGGUCAGAAGCCUUCCCCAUGUCUGACAGUCAAUGCCAGCUGGCUCCAAGAUGGACCUGUCACUGGCCAAGGCUGAGCCAAUCACUCACAGUGGUGGCACCUCUAGGGAAGGGGGAAAAGUUCCUGCACAGUAGCAAUGGCUUUGGGACAGAAUAUGUGAGAGAAACAGCUCUGUAAACACCAAGGUCAGUGGAGAAGGAGGGGAGGAUGUGCUCCAGGUGUGGGAAGUGAGGUUCUCCUGCAGUCCAUGGAAGGUGGGGAGGACCAUUAUGAGGCAGCUAUGUCCCUGCAAUGCAUGGAGGUCGAUGCAGAAGCAGAGAUUCCAUGCCAGAGCAGGUGAUGCUUGAAGUCUGUGACCCCGUGGGAAGUCCAUGCUGGAGUAGGCUCCUGGCAGGGCCUGUGGACCUGUGGAGAGAAUCCCGCAUUGAAGAAGGAUUGCUGGUGGGGCCUGUGGAGGACUGACACUGGAGCAGGCUGUACCUGAAGGACUGACUGUACUCUGUGGAAGGUACCUACACUGGGGCACUUUGUGAAGAAUUGCAGCUUAUGGGAGGGAGUCACAUUGAAGAAGUUUGUGGAGGACUGUCUCCUGGGUGAUGGAGCCCAUGCUGUAGCAGCAGCGCUGUGAAGAGUCCUUUCUGUGAGAAGGAAGGAACAACAGAAAGUGGUGAACUCACUGUAACACCCUUUCUCUGUCCCACUGUACCAUGAGGAUGGAGAGGUAUAGAAUUUGUGAGUAAAGGCUGGAAAGAAAUAUGGGGUGGGGGGAAAAUGUGUCAUUAAGAUUCGGUUUUACUUCACAUUACCCUACUCUGAUUAGAGUCAUAAUUAAUUUUCCCUAGUCAAGUCUGUUUUGCUCAAUCUGGCAGUAACUGCUGAGUGAUCUCUCUCUGUCAUCAUCAUGACCCUCAGCCCUUUUCUUAUAUUUUCUCUCCUCUGUCUGGCUGAGGAAGGGAGUGAUAGAGUGGCUUUGGUGGUCACCUGGUGAUGAGCCAGGGUCAACCCAUCACAGCUGCCCAGAGCCCUUAUGGACUCCCUGCCAAUGAGUUGUUCAAGGCUUCAUUCAACAAAUCUCUCCUCAACUUGACCCAGUCAGCCUUCCUGCAAGCAGCGGUUGAACUAGAUGACCUCUGGAGGUCACUUCUAACCAAAUUUAUUUUAUAUCUAAAGCUCUGUGUGUGGGGUUAAGUGAACUGGAGGAACAAGAGGAAAAAUACAAUGGGGGAAACAGAUUUUUUUUUUUUUCUGAAUUAAUUAAUAACCUUCCAAACAAAAAAAAAUAGAUAAUACUGCAGACUUAGUUAACUACUGAGUUAGUUCUGAUUAAUUUAUUAUAUUCUGUAGUCUAAAGGUGUGGUAAAUUUAUUGCUGCCUUUCCAUUUAUGUGUGCAGCAGCCAUAAAAUUCCCAUUAAUUUUCUUAAUCAGUUUUGCAUUUUUUUCUCUGAAGCUUUGAAUAGAACCUUAGGUAUUUUCACAGUGUUCUUCCUUUAUUCUCUGCCAAAAUGUUGUGGUCUUUUAUGCAGAAGUCCAAGUGACAAGACAAGUGGUAAGGGCCCAAACUACAUCCUUUGCAUUUUAAGUACUCUUAAGUAUGUUUUCUCAAACUAUUAUCUGAUUUAAAUUCUCAAGAGAUUUUUAAAUUUGAUAUGUUAAGUACUGCCUAGCUUGUGUGGCAUGAUGUAAUACUGGAUAUUCUCUAGUUAAGAGAAUGGAAGUGAGGGAGUUAAGUUAGGAAUACUUUAGUGAUAUGUAUUCUUUAUGAUUAUUUCUCAUACUCUCUUUCUUGUCUUCUGUCUCUGUAGUUUGAUCAUACAACUAUCUGUGUUGUACCAACAUUACCUUUUACUUUGAUUGUAGAAACUUCCUUGUAUUUUUUUUUAAUGAAAAACUGCACAUGUGGGAGAGGUAUGAAGCUUGGUAGAUUUUGAAGAGGAAUUUCCCAAGAGUUCUCCUUGCACAAUGUUCUCAUAAAGUUUUUUCAGCUUGCUUCAGAAAAAUUAAAAGCAGAAAGCUUCACACACCUUUCAGGGAAGAUUUCUGUUCUAAAAUACUUUGUGACAGAUUUUUCUGGCAAAAAGUUAUACAAUUACUUUUUUUUUUAAUUAGUGUACAAAAUAUAUAGUUUUAAGCAGACUAAUUUUCAUAACUUUUUAAUGAUUUAAAAAAAGACUAUUUUGUAUAAAGCGUUUGCACACUAAUUUCUGAGAAAACAAUUAGAAGCAAAAUAAUACUUUUAUAUCUCCAGUGUUCAUGGCAGUUGAAGUGUUAUGAUUCUAGCGAGGUCUAUAUGCAAAGUAAGAGACACAAUACAGAUGUUAUUUAAGCAACCUAAGGGAGAAAAGGUGAAAAUUGUCAUAAUUAAUAUUACCUGGUCUGUAAAAUUAAGUGCCCAGUCACAGGGAAUGACAGAGAGAGAAGGAGUGAUGAAGAAAGGAGACUCUUCCACUAUAUGUUAGAAAAGAGAUUGUUGCCAAGGCUUUUGUGAAGACUCCAAGAGGAACAAGAAGGAUGUAGCUUGAAGAGCUGUCACCCAGUCUAGACCAGUAACAAAUUGUGGAGGUUAGGCAACACUGUGAACUACCGGCAUUUGCAUAAACAGAAAUACAGAUAUCCCAGGCUUGUUUUUCCUCUCCAAAUGGUAAGGGUUGAAGCUCAUUAGUGAAAACAUCAGCCCUUGCUUUCUAGUUUCCCAAAUACACCAGCAUUCACAUAUCUCUGCAGUAUCAGUGUGAGCUCAAAUAUCCAUAUCUACCCUCACCCAUUAUUUGGGGCCUCCCCUACUUACCAGGAGAGUCUGGCUUGAUCUUCAGUACAUAACAGAUGCACACACUCAUGCACUGUUCUCACAAGCAUGCUUGCUCAAGUGUUCGAUCUCCCACUGGGUGGUGAUCCAAUGUCCAUGCACACACACUCUGUCUCUUACAUAGCUGCUGACCCAGAGCUGGAGUCUUUCCAGAUAUAGAUCUUCUGUUUCAUGGCUACUCCAGUUUAAGAUUGGCUAGAAAAGUAUAUGUAGGUGUACACAUGGAUGUGCACAUACACAGGUGUAUGCACACUUAAAUUCUCUAGGGAAAUAGUCUGGUGUCUUCAACCACUGGCACUUAAACACAUGGGCCCUGUGAGGCACAGUCCUUGCUCCAGUUGCUGAUGUUUAGAUCCCACCAAUACACACCCUAUUCCUAGUGGGGAAUGAUCCCUUCCCCUGUUGCUGGCACUCAGAUCUCAAUUGUAUUCUAGGCUCUCUAUUGUCACCUGGAUCUACAACCUGGUGACCUGUGUGUUCGCCAGCUGCUGGCAAUUGGACAUUGUAGCACUCAUGUAGGAUAGAGUGAGGUUACAAAGGCAAAGUCAGUAAUAGAAUUUAUUAAGUAGAGAGCACGCACUGUGUUGAUCAUGGGGAUCAGACAUGUAUCCUAUGUUUGCUCCUCUGCUAUCCAUCCAUAUCUCUAACUUUCCUUACAUUUUUCACUUCCCCUAAUGAAUCUAUAUUUUUUUCAUAACCUUCACAAGUGCUUUUUUCUUUUUCAUGACUUUGGUACACUCUCACAAAGACUUUCAAAUAUGCCAUCAUACUCAUGAAGUCUUGAUUUCUUCUCUGUUUCCCUUCUCUGCUCCCUCCUCCCCUUUGCCCUUUCCUAUGUCUAAGUAGUUCCUUCUAACAGCCCAUCAAUCAACGACUGAAAAGUUCUGGUCUUUGUCUACCUUAUUACCUGCUCAUUAGUGCUAGUGUAUUCAUUUCCUUUAUUGCUUUAUUGUUUUCCUUGUUAAUCAUUACUUUUAUUACACUGAAUGGUCCUUAACUAGAGAGCUUAAUGAACCAGAUGCUCUUACAGUCUAUGUAUUCUUACAGUGGCAUAGAGGAAAAAUGCUCUUGUUUAUUUAAGGUCCUGGAAUCAUGCUGCUUUUUGUAUUGGUUCUGGUUUUACCUCUGUUAUUGAAUUAUUGCUAUUGCUUGCUUUUUUCUGUUAAUUUUCUCAAGGGAAGAGCUCCAGUUAUCUUCAAUGAGAUUUCCUGUAGGAUUUAACAAAACCUGAGUAUUACAUGCUCACCACAAUUGUAAUGUUAGAGUCCCAGAGGCAUGACUGAGUUGCUUAUAUAGAUUUCUUCUGUGUACAAAUUGUGCUGAGAGCUUCAGUUUGUGCCUAGUGUGGGAAACCUCCAGCAAGUACAGUUGGUGUGCUUGUAUUAAAAAUAAUGAUAUCCAGUUGUCUGUGUGCUCGAGAUGCACUCAGAUGACAAUGAAUAGCAAGACUAACGAGUUUGCAGGUAUUACAGCAAAACAAAUCCUAGCCUACUCUGGAGAUAAAGUAUAGUGACAUCAGGCUAACCUGUGUACAAGUCUGGUGAAAACAUAGUAUUCAUGAUUUAAAACCCAUUUGUAAUAUUGUUCUAAGGCUGUGUAGAAUCUGUAGAAUUGUAUUCAAGCCCAUAAUUUUCAAAAACUGGACAAAAUGAAGAAAAGAAGAAAUAGUCUAACUGUUAAGUAUCUACAAAUGGAAAUCACAGAUGAGGGUGUGCUCCCUUUCUGUACUAAUGAACAGAAUCACAGAAUUGUUAGUGUUGGAAAGGACCUUUGGAGAUCAUCUAGCCCAACCCACCUGUAGGGUCACCUAAAACAGGUGAUACAGGAACUUGUCCAGGUGGGUUUUGGGUAUCUCCAGAGAGGGAGACCUCCCUGGGCAGCCUGUGCCAUUGUCCUGCCACACUCAUUGUAAAGUUCUUCCUCAUGUUGAGGUGGAACUUAUUGUGUUUUAGUUUAUGGCCAUUGCUCCUUGCAAUUGCUGGGCAAUCACUGAAAAGAGUCUGGCACCAUCCUCUUGACACCCAUGUUUGAGAUAUUAAUAUGCAUUUGUCCAGGCUAUUGAUAAACAAGUUGAAAUGCAUGGACACAUGUGAAUUUUUAUAUAUUAGUGUUUUUUUCACAUGAUUUCCAGAGAAGUGUCUUAUGAAUUGCAGUGCAGGUAAAAUGAAACCAUACACUGCCUGCAAGCUAAAAUUUUCAUAUAUGUUGCACUUCAGUUGCAGUUAUGGAUUUAGCAGUGGCAGUUAUUUUAGCGGCAGUUUAUAGAGUAGCCUGAAUUACUUAAAAGUAAGAAAACCUCAACGGGACUGAAAGCUUUCAAGGGAAAAUAGGACAAGAUAACAAGUACAGCAUGGAAAUGGUUCAAGAGUAAGUGGGACCUGGUUUUGAUGUUUUUCUUCCCACUUGUGAACCCUUUUCUUGAAAGUUUUUGUGCAGACUGCAGGCUCAAGACCAAAGCCAGAGCUCUGCUCAGUGAUCAGGCAACGAGCAGGAUAUUUAUUAUAGUAAUAGGGCUGGGUAUAAACUGGGAGACAUCUCCAGAGCUGUAAUUUCAGGAGGUACACAAUGGAAGAUGAAGAAAAGUGCAUCUCUGAAAACAUCACAUUUUGCUAUGUUAACUAUCCCCUAGCUUUCUGUGAAUUCUUAGGUAUCUAAUUUAUGUUUAUAAUAUGCCAACACUGUUAUUUCUUGGGCUUUUUCAGAGUUAGCACUUAAAUACGGGUAGUUAGUAUUCGUAAUGGUUUGCUCAGAAAAUUUGAGUCAUUAAUGUGGAAAAAACCAGAAAACCAUCACAAGGUUUAGACUAUCAAUCAUAAAUAAACAAUUUUGGCAUUCAUGCAGAGUGUCAUUUAUUCAGUAAAAUGGUUAACAAACACUUGAAAAUAACGAACAUGCUUGUGGGAUUGUUUUUUAGGUUAUUUGGGAACAGAGAAUGGUAAAAAUGGUUAACUGUAUCUAUUUAGAAACAGGUAUGUAGAAAUAAUUUACAUAUAAAAUAACCUAAUACUUGAUAUUAGACUAUUCAGAAUAGAUGUCAGUGAGACUCUAUGAAGGACAUCAUCAGAGAACUAAUUCAGGGUAUAAAAAAUGGGACUAAUAGAAAGCCAGGACUGAAGUGUAUAAGUUGGGCUCUGUUCCUCAGGAAUGGAACAGAAUCUUGUCACCAAAUUAUAUUGUCACAAUUAUUCACAUGAAGUUUCCACUGCUGUCAGUUUCAUUGUGUUUCUCAUGUCUAGCCCCUGCUGCACUAACAGUAGUCUAGUGAUCAGAUGUCUAGAGAUAGAAUAAUGGAAAAGUAUCAAAACUAUUUUAUUUUGAAAAUAUUUGCUUUGGUGAAAAAGCUGUUUCCUCUAAUGCUUUGUCUGCCUCUGUUUAUGGUUUAACUGUAAUUAAAAGUGUAAGCUACAAAGUGAGAUGACUGAAAGAAUGUCUGUAAGACUGUAAGAAAAUUCUGUAAGAAUGGCUGGAAAAUAAAUUGGAAUUAACUUUUCUUAUUAC